rnacentral:rRNA from 1 species
UCCAUGCUCAGAUUGAACGCUGGCGGCAGGCCUAACACAUGCAAGUCGAGCGGUAGGGAGAAGCUUGCUUCUCUUGAGAGCGGCGGACGGGUGAGUAAUGCCUAGGAAUCUGCCUGGUAGUGGGGGAUAACGUUCGGAAACGAACGCUAAUACCGCAUACGUCCUACGGGAGAAAGCAGGGGACCUUCGGGCCUUGCGCUAUCAGAUGAGCCUAGGUCGGAUUAGCUAGUUGGUGAGGUAAUGGCUCACCAAGGCGACGAUCCGUAACUGGUCUGAGAGGAUGAUCAGUCACACUGGAACUGAGACACGGUCCAGACUCCUACGGGAGGCAGCAGUGGGGAAUAUUGGACAAUGGGCGAAAGCCUGAUCCAGCCAUGCCGCGUGUGUGAAGAAGGUCUUCGGAUUGUAAAGCACUUUAAGUUGGGAGGAAGGGCAUUAACCUAAUACGUUAGUGUUUUGACGUUACCGACAGAAUAAGCACCGGCUAACU